UACGUAGGGGGCUAGCGUUGUCCGGAAUCAUUGGGCGUAAAGCGCGUGUAGGCGGUCCGGUAAGUCCGCUGUGAAAGUCGGGGGCUCAACCCUCGAAUGCCGGUGGAUACUGUCGGGCUUGAGUGCGGGAGAGGCGAGUGGAAUUCCUGGUGUAGCGGUGAAAUGCGCAGAUAUCAGGAGGAACACCUAUUGCGAAGGCAGCUCGCUGGGACGUUACUGACGCUGAGACGCGGAAGCGUGGGGAGCAAACAGG
rnacentral:rRNA from 1 species